rnacentral:rRNA from 1 species
GUGGGGAAUCUUGCGCAAUGGGCGAAAGCCUGACGCAGCCAUGCCGCGUGAAUGAUGAAGGUCUUAGGAUUGUAAAAUUCUUUCACCGGGGACGAUAAUGACGGUACCCGGAGAAGAAGCUCCGGCUAACUUCGUGCCAGCAGCCGCGGUAAUACGAAGGGGGCUAGCGUUGCUCGGAAUUACUGGGCGUAAAGGGCGCGUAGGCGGACAGCUUAGUCAGAGGUGAAAGCCCAGGGCUCAACCUUGGAAUUGCCUUUGAUGCUGGCUGUCUUGAGUUUGGGAGAGGUGAGUGGAACUCCGAGUGUAGAGGUGAAAUUCGUAGAUAUUCGGAAGAACACCAGUGGCGAAGGCGACUCACUGGCCCAAUACUGACGCUGAGGCGCGAAAGCGUGGGGAGCAAACAGGAUUAGAAACCCUUGUAGUCC